CCAGUUUCUACGAGAUGAAGAGGCAGCCAGGUUAGCUGCACUGAGGGAGGAAGAGGAGCUGAAGAGUCAGAUGAUGAAGGAGAAGAUUGAGAAGAUGAACAGAGAAAUCUCAUCUCUUUCAGACAUAAUCAGAGCCAUAGAAAAGGAGAUGGAAGCUGAUGAUCUUUCAUUCAUACGUAACUACAAGAGCACAGAGGAAAGAGCCCAGUGCACACUGCAGGAUCCAGAGAGGG